AUAUUUGAGAGAAAGAGAGAAAGAUAGUACUUCUCUAAUCAUGAUUAAAAAAGAGAGAGGGAGCUUUGUAAAAAAAAAAAGAGGGAGGCAGAGGAGGGAUCUUCCCACCUUUGCCUCCCUCUUUUUU
rnacentral:ncRNA from 1 species